rnacentral:rRNA from 1 species
CCUACGGGAGGCAGCAGUGAGGAAUAUUGGUCAAUGGCCGCAGGCCUGAACCAGCCAAGUCGCGUGAGGGAUGACGGUCCUAUGGAUUGUAAACCUCUUUUGUCAGGGAGCAAAGGGCGCCACGUGUGGUGUUUUGCGAGUACCUGAAGAAAAAGCAUCGGCUAACUCCGUGCCAGCAGCCGCGGUACUACGGAGGAUGCGAGCGUUAUCCGGAUUUAUUGGGUUUAAAGGGUGCGCAGGCGGAAUGUCAAGUCAGCGGUAAAAUUUCGGGGCUCAACCCCGUCGUGCCGUUGAAACUGGCGUUCUUGAGUGAGCGAGAAGUAUGCGGAAUGCGUGGUGUAGCGGUGAAAUGCAUAGAUAUCACGCAGAACUCCGAUUGCGAAGGCAGCAUACCGGCGCUCAACUGACGCUCAUGCACGAAAGCGUGGGUAUCGAACAGGAUUAGAUACCCCUGUAGUC